AAGCUCGUAGUUGAAUUUCGGGGUUCUACCGUCGGUCGGGCUACCAAGUCUGUACUGGUGUGUAGAAUUUCUACCCUCUGGAGAACCAUCAUGUUAUUAAUUUAGCGUGGUGGGAAACCAGGACCUUUACCUUGAAAAAAUUAGAGUGUUCAAAGCAGGCUUAUGUCUGAAUACAUUAGCAUGGAAUAAUAGAAUAGGACGGUGGUCCUGUUUUGUUGGUUUCUGAAUCACCGUAAUGAUUAAUAGGGAUAGUUGGG
rnacentral:rRNA from 1 species